rnacentral:tRNA from 1 species
GGAAGAGUUGCGGGAAGGAAUUGUUUGUAAGUACCUGUUUUCUAAGCACUUGGGCGUAGACUUGAAAACUGGCGACGGGGGAACCUGUUCGUGAGUUCGAAUCUCACCGCUUUCC